AGGGUGGGUGCAGCCCAAGAUCACUGGAGUUCCUGGGAAGCGGGGAGUCUGUGGUUCUCUAAUGGAUGAUUUUUCUGGGGAAAAGAUGGUGUCGACUGUCCAAGCUUGGUUGAGAGGAUUUGUGUAUUGCAUCUGAAACCAAGAAAGACUAGGAUCAUCUUUGGAAUGUUUGGGAUGGUUGAUUCCGCUAAGGACUAUUCAUAAGGCACAUUUACCAGCUCUCCCUUAGGUCUUUUCAUGAACAUGUUUUGAACAAGCACACAGAACAGGCUGCCCCUGCUGCUAGAAGGGCUUCUUGUGGGCCCCUUUCUAACCCCGGGUCGCUGAGGUUUAUUACAUGAAAUCCUCAAUGGGUGGGCACUGCAGCACAGAGCGACCUGGAGUGUGUGGGGUGGGUACCCCAGUCAACACACACAGGACUCUUGCAAACAGGCUCC
rnacentral:lncRNA from 1 species